AUAUAAACAAAAAAGGACUUCCAUUAAUGAUCAAUUAAUAUUACAAAAGUGGGCUUCUAGGCCAAAUUACAAAGUAAAAUAAAAUAAUUACAAGUUGCCCUAUCUAAACAGGUGGGGGCGGAGGAGGUACAAAGGCUAUUAUGGCAUCGAAAGCCACGACUUCUUUGACUUCAGCCUCUUCUUCGGUGGCUUCGUAUUUGAUUUCUAUCACAUGGCUAUCCUCCGUAGAAGUUUGAGGUUCUUCUCCCUCAUCCAAGAACUCAUACCUCAGUUUAGAAGUAUUGAAGGUCUAGAAGUUGACUUCAAUCCACUCCACCACCUUCGCAUAGGCGUACCUUCACCAAUAUUUUGCAAAACCUUGGUAUGCCUGAGUCAGGUGAAAGUUAGAUGUAUAGUGCUUUUUAGCCCCACUACUAACAGACUCUGCCUCCUUCCUCGUCAUCUCUAGCUCCUCGAUUAGGCCCGACACUCUGGAGUCUAACUCUCGCACCCGAUCUUUUAGAACAACAUUCUCUUUAAUUGCUGCCUCUAAGGCCUCAGCCACUAGCAUUUGGUGAGCAUCAGAAUUCUCCACUCGCCUUGUCAUGGAAGCCACUUCACUCUGACACUAGUGUACUUGCUUCUACAAGUUUUUAAUCUUUGCCAAGGCAAAGGCAAGCUUUAUGGAGUCUUCAGCAUGCUACUUCUUAACAGCCUCUACCUCCGCUUUCACCUUCUUAGCUGCCUCCUCUGUCUGGGAGGUCUUAUUGUAAAUUCUUUAUUUUUAUUGUAAAGGUUUUUUAAAAAGGGCCUUCGCCUCUAUAGCGACCCCAUAAGCCCUUGCAGAUUGGCUCACCAUUGUGGUGAAAAUUUCCAUUCAAUUAAUGGUCUCCAUGAAGGACUGCCAACGGUCCGUCUAGAACUUGUGAAAAGUAGAGUUGCAGUUUAAACUUUUCGUCGGCAACAUGGACAAAACCUCCAGGGCCAGUUCAUUGUUCCAUGGUGAGACAGCAAAUUUCGGGUGAGGACCCACUUGAGGUCCUUGCCCACUUCGAAGAUUCUUGCCUUGAGAACUCCACAGCAAUUAGCUUCUUUUGGGUUUCCUUAGCUUCGACAAUAAACGCUGCCAUCAGUUUCUCCCCAGCAAGGACUUCGGAGCGAGGUAGUGAGCUAGCCAUAAACUCACCCUCUCUGGUAGUAGAAAUUUUUUGCUUAUUUUGGGGGACUUCUUCCACCUUAUUCUUCUCCUUAUCCUUGAUGGGAGGUCUUCUAUCACCCUCUUGGGUAGUAGCCUCCCUAAUGACCCUCUUCACUUGGUCCCUUACCUACUUGUAACAAUAGAUAAGAGUUUUAACCCCUUUCUCUCUACUAUGGUGGUGGCUUCUUGGGUAGCAACCUCCCUGCUGACUCUACUUGGUCCCUUACCUGCUUGGUAACAACAGAUGAGGGCUUUAACCCCUUUCUCUAGGCUAUGGGGUGGCUGCGAGGAUGGUGGCCAUGUCAAAGUGGGGCAUCUCCUCUUCUCAAAGUUUUUUCUGCAAAAAUGUAAAGCACCCAGGUCAACAAAGAUGAACAACGUCAAAACAAUCACAUCCUAGAAAGGCAAAAGUAUCUUUGCAAGCCAUCAGGUUGAAUUCUUCAAAGAAACGGCGAGAAACAAUUAAUCUCUCAAACUUCUUUGAAGAAGAAUGACAUAGGUAGAUGUCCCCAACAAGCUCAAGCCCAGCUUCACUAAGCUCAAAACGAUCUACAAAUCCUGCAAAAGGCAAACACACACUAGGUCAUGAUCCACAUUAAUUCAACUCCUCAAUAAAAUACUUAAAAGGUACAACAAUCACUAGCUUCUGAGCUGGAGAUGGGAACUGUCACAUGGGGGAGGUGUCACCCUCACAUACUUGUCAUUUUUCCCUCACCUAGAACUAUGUCUCUUUCCAUUCUUUGAUGGAGGAAAAAAGUCCUUUGAUGAAGGGAGGAUGCGACCCCAAUGAACAUAAAGAAUACCAACCCUUAAAGUUUCCUUUACCUAGAGACCUAGGCUGAAGAAUAGUUUAAAAAACAUAGAACGACAUGUC
rnacentral:lncRNA from 1 species